UUCUUCAUCGUGUCAAUUGGUUGCCAAAAAUGACGUCGUGCGAAGCCAUGAUUCCAUUCAUUUCGAUCGUAUUUACGGUUCAUGCAUCUACUGCCUCAAUUAGCUCAGUUUCGUGCUGAUGUCUUCCUGGCUUUGAGUGACUACCUGACAUUGGUCUGUGUACGGUCACCUCACAAUUGUCAGUUCGAUAUUAAGUUGAGUUGUCAUCACAGCUUCCUUCCUUCCUUCCUUCGAUUAUCAUCUACUUACUGUUCUUUGCGUGGGUUCUUGGCCUCAUCAAAGGUUUGCGUCUUCAUUUUGUUGCUUUCUCUGGGUGACGCUCGAACGGCUUGCGUGACAGCGACGGUGGGCGAAACUGGUGGUCUUGGUUGUUCUGCUUCUGGUUCCAUUUUGUCUGUUUUUAUUACUACCAAAAGGAGUCUCUGUCCUUCUCAGCCUCUCGAUGAAGUUUUGACGUUUUUCUUAGCUUGGGGACGAUCAUGCGGCUCAACUCUCCUGAACUUCUCUUCGUCAUAUUGGAUACUCUCUGUGGUUCAUCAUACAUCUGAUUUCAACUCAGCUGAUUCUAUGCUUUUGGAUCUUCCUACUGAAGAAUCUCGACAACCAAAGAGCAGACUGAGUGUACAUCCACCACCAGCUUUUGGUUCAUCGCCUAAUCUUGGAGCCCUUGUACUUGAAGCAAAUAAAUCUGAAGAGCAAGAUGGGGAUAGAUUAAUCACAUACAUUUGGUUUUUGUUGGUACAGCGCUUGAUGUACCAACUUUUAAGGUUGUUGCUCUCUGCCAUGGACAUGGAAUCUUACACAGGUGGCUUAUUAGUCUCUACUUCAGCACAACAACCGCGCUGGUGCCACUGCCCUACCAUAUCACUUUUUUGGAUGGAAAAAAGUGAUUACAAUAACAGUAUGGAAGCUUACAAUAUAAAACAGGUCCAAAGCUCAAACCCCAUGCCAAUCUAUUGACCCUUCCAUGUACCUAAGCUACUGUUUGUGAUUAAUUAAUUAGGUUCUUCAACUGAAGCUUUAGUCGCAUAUUACUUAGAUUAAUCAUAACUAAUUCCGUCUGAUAUUUUUGUAAGUAUUUGCCUCCUCACAGGUUAUUGGAGUAGUUUAUGAUGUGGUGUUGGGUUUCGGUUCUUCCUUCCCCUCUCUGUACGCCUCUUCAUUUAAGAAAAGAGAGCAUAUGGAAGAUUCUGAGUAUUGAGGCCAAGUUGAGCUGUAAAUAUAAACUGAAAGUAUGGAUGCUCUCAGUUGAACUAUGCAUGCAUCCUUCCAAGUCCCUCCUCAAUCUUCUUUAGACAGAGUUGCAUGCACUUGAUAAUGCUUUAUCAAGGUGGCAGUGGUGGUAGCAGUGUAAUGAGGGACUACAGGAAAGGGAACUGGACAUUGAGUGAAACAAUGGUGUUAAUAGAGGCAAAGAUGGAUGAUGAGAGAAGAAUGAAGACAAGUGGAUAAAUUAGUGAAGUAGGGAGAUCGAGCAAUCCAACAGAGUUGAGAUGGAAGUGGGUUGACGAUUAUUUCCAUUGAUUUUUUGACUGUGGGUUAGCUGGACUCUCUCUCUUCUAUGAUUUGCCCAGCUUUCACAAUUAGUUCGAUACUUCUGUAGGUAUGUUCAUCUUCAAUUUUCCUUCUAUUAAGGUGGCAAACCACAACAGCACUAAAAAAAUUAAGCAGCCUUUUUAUUCAAUAAAGUUCUGUUAAAAAUAAUGGUCUCAUAUCCUUAGCUAUAUUAUGCCUUUGGAAGAGAGAACCAAUUUGUACAAUAAUGACAUCUGCAAUAGGAAUAAAUAGAAAU